GAAGUGACGCGGACCAGGCGGGUCUUGCCUGUUCCUAGAGAAAGAAAGGGGUUAGCCACGGCGGGAACGGCCCCCGCCAGUGAGGAGCGCAGGCAGCAAGGCUUAGCGGAAGAGGCGUGGCCCAGGCGUACCGCAGGGCCGUGACCCGAACGAGCUGUCCUUAGCCCUUACGUGAAGGGCGUGGCGUAGUCCCAAGGGUGUAAAAAAAGAUGUUCGAAUUGGCGGGAGGGGCGGCAUACUUUAGGCGGAGUAAGGACGUGGGCCCAAGGGAGGAAGGUAGGGUAGGCAGAAUAGUUGUGACUGGAUGAUCACUGGUAUGUGAAACGAACUGAGCUCAGAGGCGCAGACUGGCUGAAGCGUGGAAAAGUGGCCACAGAUGGAAAGGCAGGCACCGGAGUAGUGACGGGCAGGGGAGGUGGCGCGAAAAGAGAAGUAGGGACAUGACGUAGUUGGAACGCAGAGACGUGCCUCGAACGUGGGGGCGCGGUCCUUACGUGUGGGCGUGCCUUGUUGCUCUGACGGGCGUAACAAACAUGGUGGAGCAGGCGGAGGGCAGAGGCGUGGGCAAGUUAGCGUGCAGGCGCGUGGCAGCGACAGGAGAUGUGUAGCCAGAGCGCAGAGCGGGUGUGGACUCCGGCGCAGGGGAAGCGUGGUCAGGGCGAGAUUUGAGCCUGGGUCGGGGACAGAGGCGGGACUGAUAGGGGCGUAGCCUGGAAUGACGAAAUGACGUUUGCUGCGUGGGGACGUGGGUAAACGUGAGGGGGCGUGGGCAACAUGGCCGCGUGCAGGAUCUUCGGGUCCCGGCAGCGAACGUGGAGGUUCUGGCUCAGGUUAUUGGGUUCCUGCAAGUUAUUUGGGAACUGAUCAAGGUUUCAGGGUAAAGAUGGUGGUGAUGAACAGCCUGAGGGUCACUUGUCCUGUGUCCCCAUGCAAAUUGCUGUGGAGAAGCUUCCAGAUUCCAAGGCCCAGGCCAUCCUGCAGCCUCUUACUUGUACUUACGAAAUCCAGAAAUAAACCUGUGUGUGCUCUGCUGUAAAAACAGAAGAUCGUGUGAUGCAGCAGAUGGUCUUCCUCAAGCCUUUCUCAUCUUGUUCCCCUCCUGGAAAUACAAGUGCAUCCGCUCUGGGAGAGCGUGGACCUGGUUCCCGGGGGUGAUCAACAAUCACCCAUCAACAUCUGGUGGAGGGACAGUGUUUAUGAUCCCGGCUUAAAACCGCUCACCAUCUCUUAUGACCCAGCCACCUGCCUCCACGUCUG